CUAGAAAGGCUGUAAUCCAAGAAAUGUAAAUUAACAAGUGUUGGCAAGGUCAGAGAGAAAUCACAACCCUUAAAUACUGUACAGGGAACCGAAAUGGUGCAUCCUGUGUUUAACAUAGUUUGGUAAUUCCUCAAAAA